UACAGAGGGUGCGAGCGUUGUUCGGAAUUAUUGGGCGUAAAGGGCGCGUAGGCGGUGCGGUAAGUCACCUGUGAAAUCUCCUGGCUCAACUGGGAGCUUGCAGGCGAAACUGCCGUGCUGGAGUGUGGGAGAGGUGCGUGGAAUUCCUGGUGUAGCGGUGAAAUGCGUAGAUAUCAGGAAGAACACCCGUGGCGAAGGCGGCUCUCUGGGACGGUACUGACGCUGAGACGCGAAAGCGUGGGGAGCGAACAGG
rnacentral:rRNA from 1 species